rnacentral:rRNA from 1 species
AAACUUAAAUGAAUUGACGGGUCCCGCACAAGCAGCGGAGCGUGUGGUUUAAUUCGUUGCUACACGAAGAACCUUACCUGGGUUUGACAUAGCAGUGGUAGGGAAGCGAAGGCGGACCGACCCUUCGGGGAGCUGUUACAGGUGUUGCAUGGCUGUCGUCAGCUCGUGUCGUGAGAUGUUCGGUUAAGUCCGCUAACGAGCGCAACCCGCGUUGUGUGUUACAAGUGUCACACAAUACCGCCGGUAUUAAGUCGGAGGAAGGUGCGGAUGACGUCAAGUCAGCAUGACCUUUAUGUCUGGGGCUACACACACGCUACAAUGGCCAGUACAAUAGGUUGCAAGACCGCGAGGUGGAGCCAAUCCUUAAAGCUGGUCUCAGUUCGGAUUGCAGGCUGCAACUCGCCUGCAUGAAGUCGGAGUUGCUAGUAACCGCGCGUCAGCCAUAGUGCGGUGAAUACGUUCCCGGGCCUU